rnacentral:rRNA from 1 species
AGAGUUUGAUCCUGGCUCAGGAUGAACGCUGGCGGCGUGCUUAACACAUGCAAGUCGAACGGACUUUAUAUGAAGCCUAGCGAUUAUAAAGUUAGUGGCGGACGGGUGAGUAACGCGUGAAUAACCUGCCCUGUACCGGGGGACAACAGUUGGAAACGGCUGCUAAUACCGCAUAAGCGCACGGUUCCGCAUGGAACAGUGUGAAAAACUCCGGUGGUACAGGAUGGAUUCGCGUCUGAUUAGCCAGUUGGUGGGGUAACGGCCUACCAAAGCAACGAUCAGUAGCCGGCCUGAGAGGGUGAACGGCCACAUUGGGACUGAGACACGGCCCAAACUCCUACGGGAGGCAGCAGUGGGGAAUAUUGCACAAUGGGGGAAACCCUGAUGCAGCGACGCCGCGUGAGUGAAGAAGUUAUUCGUAACGUAAAGCUCUAUCAGCAGGGAAGAAAAUGACGGUACCUGACUAAGAAGCCCCGGCUAACUACGUGCCAGCAGCCGCGGUAAUACGUAGGGGGCAAGCGUUAUCCGGAUUUACUGGGUGUAAAGGGAGCGUAGACGGCACAGCAAGUCUGAUGUGAAAGCCCGGGGCCCAACCCCGGAACUGCAUUGGAAACUGCUGGGCUUGAGUGCAGGAGAGGUAAGCGGAAUUCCUAGUGUAGCGGUGAAAUGCGUAGAUAUUAGGAGGAACACCAGUGGCGAAGGCGGCUUACUGGACUGUAACUGACGUUGAGGCUCGAAAGCGUGGGGAGCAAACAGGAUUAGAUACCCUGGUAGUCCACGCC